rnacentral:rRNA from 1 species
UGGGGAAUAUUGCGCAAUGGGGGGAACCCUGACGCAGCCAUGCCGCGUGAAUGAAGAAGGCCUUAGGGUUGUAAAGUUCUUUCGGUAUUGAGGAAGGUUGAUGUGUUAAUAGCACAUCAAAUUGACGUUAAAUACAGAAGAAGCACCGGCUAACUCCGUGCCAGCAGCCGCGGUAAUACGGAGGGUGCGAACGUUAAUCGGAAUAACUGGGCGUAAAGGGCACGCAGGCGGUUAUUUAAGUGAGGUGUGAAAGCCCCGGGCUUAACCUGGGAAUUGCAUUUCAGACUGGGUAACUAGAGUACUUUAGGGAGGGGUAGAAUUCCACGUGUAGCGGUGAAAUGCGUAGAGAUGUGGAGGAAUACCGAAGGCGAAGGCAGCCCCUUGGGAAUGUACUGACGCUCAUGUGCGAAAGCGUGGGGAGCAAACAGGAUUAGAUACCCUGGUAGUCCACGCUGUAAACGCUGUCGAUUUGGGGGUUGGGGUUUAACUCUGGCGCCCGUAGCUAACGUGAUAAAUCGACCGCCUGGGGAGUACGGCCGCAAGGUUA